GGGGUACAUCGAGUUUUUGACGCAAGUUGCGCCCGAAGCCAUUAGGCCGAGGGCACGUCUGCCUGGGCGUCA
rnacentral:rRNA from 1 species